CGGGGCUAUAAAAUGGAGGUGGAGGGGAAGAUGCUUUACACAAGAAAAGAGCAUGCAAAACCUAGCUGCAUAUUCCCCAAAAAUGAAGGCAUUUCUUAUAGUUUUCACUCUCUUGCUUUCCACCCUUCUGAUGUUCACCAGUCCUUCCUCAGCUCGAGCAAUAGUUGCGCAGAAAAAACAAAGCACUGAAGAGCCAAAGCCGGAACCAAGUCCGAAGGCACGGAAGCCACCAAAAAAAAAGGGGUAAAUUGCAAAGGAAAUCAAAUCAAGAAAGCUGAGAAUAUGGUUAAUAAUAAGUUUGCUUCUUCAUGUUGUCCAGGGUAGCUGUGUAAUUAUGAAUGUUUUUGCACUUGUUUGAUGCAGUUUUAUGGAUGUUUGGGAAAUAAAAAGGGCUUGUAAAAGAGUUCGAAUAAAUUACUCUUUCUUUUUUA